UCUCCGUUGGUGAACCAGCGGAGGGAUCAUUACCGAGUGCAAACUCAUAACCCUUUGUGAACCUAUAUCUGUUGCUUCGGCGGCUCGCUCUCGGGCGAGCCCGCCGGUAAUAUCAGUAUCUCUGUUUGAACCCGACGAUACUUCUGAGUGUUCUUAGCGAACAGUUAAAACUUUUAACAACGGAUCUCUUGGCUCUAGCAUCGAUGUAGAACGCAGC
rnacentral:misc_RNA from 1 species